UUGCUUAUAUGUUUUUAUUGUGCCACC
rnacentral:sRNA from 1 species